rnacentral:rRNA from 1 species
CCAAUAGCGUAUAUUAAAGUUGUUGCAGUUAAAAAGCUCGUAGUUGAAUUUCGGGAUCAAUAUAACGGUCAUGCCGUUGGUAUGCACUGUUAUAAUUGAUUUCUCACCUUCUAAAGAACCGUAAUGCCAUUAAUUUGGUGUCACGGGGAAUUAGGACUGUUACCUUGAAAAAAUUAGAGUGUUUAAAGCAGGCUCACGCUUGAAUACAUUAGCAUGGAAUAAUGAAAUAGGACAUCCGAUUCUAUUUUGUUGGUUUCUAGGAUCGAUGUAAUGAUUAAUAGGGAUAGUUGGGGGCAUUAGUAUUCAAUUGUCAGAGGUGAAAUUCUUGGAUUUAGUGAAGACUAACUACUGCGAAAGCAUUUGCCAAGGAUGUUUUCAUUAAUCAAGAACGAAAGUUAGGGGAUCGAAGACGAUCAGAUACCGUCGUAGUCUUAACCAUAAACUAUGCCGACUAGGGAUCGGAUGAUGUUAAUUUUUUAAUGACUCAUUCGGCGCCUUACG